rnacentral:rRNA from 1 species
AUUGAACGCUGGCGGCAUGCCUUACACAUGCAAGUCGAACGGCAGCACGGGAGCAAUCCUGGUGGCGAGUGGCGAACGGGUGAGUAAUACAUCGGAACGUGCCCAGUAGCGGGGGAUAACCCGGCGAAAGCCGGACUAAUACCGCAUACGACCUACGGGUGAAAGCGGGGGAUCGCAAGACCUCGCGCUAUCGGGGCGGCCGAUGUCAGAUUAGCGAGUUGGUGGGGUAAAGGCCUACCAAGGCGACGAUCUGUAGCUGGUCUGAGAGGACGACCAGCCACACUGGGACUGAGACACGGCCCAGACUCCUACGGGAGGCAGCAGUGGGGAAUAUUGGACAAUGGGCGCAAGCCUGAUCCAGCCAUGCCGCGUGCGGGAAGAGGGCCUUCGGGUUGUAAACCGCUUUUGUCAGGGAAGAAACGCUCCGGGCUAAUACCACGGGGUAAUGACGGUACCUGAAGAAUAAGCACCGGCUAACUACGUG